UUCCUACGGGAGGCAGCAGUGAGGAAUAUUGGUCAAUGGCCGAGAGGCUGAACCAGCCAAGUCGCGUGAGGGAUGACGGCCCUACGGGUUGUAAACCUCUUUUGUCGGGGAGCAAGACCCGCCUCGUGCAGGCGGAGCGAGAGUACCCGAAGAAAAAGCAUCGGCUAACUCCGUGCCAGCAGCCACGGUAAUACGGAGGAUGCGAGCGUUAUCCGGAUUUAUUGGGUUUAAAGGGUGCGCAGGCGGCGAGUUAAGUCAGCGGUAAAAUUUCGGGGCUCAACCCCGACGAGCCGUUGAAACUGGCU
rnacentral:rRNA from 1 species